rnacentral:tRNA from 1 species
CUAGCAUUAGCUCAGUUGGUAGAGUGCAUGGUUUGGAUCCAUGAGGUCGAAAGUUCAAAUCUUUCAUGCUAGA